UACGUAGGGUGCAAGCGUUGUCCGGAAUUAUUGGGCGUAAAGAGCGUGUAGGCGGCCCGAUUAGUCCGCUGUGAAAGUCCAGGGCUCAACCCUGGAAUGCCGGUGGAUACUGUCGGGCUAGAGUCCGGAAGAGGAGAAUGGAAUUCCUGGUGUAGCGGUGAAAUGCGCAGAUAUCAGGAAGAACACCCGUGGCUAAGGCGGUUCUCUAGUACGGUACUGACGCUGAGACGCGAAAGCGUGGGGAGCGAACAGG
rnacentral:rRNA from 1 species